AUUGAACGCUGGCGGAAUGCUUUACACAUGCAAGUCGAACGGCAGCACGGGGGCAGCCCUGGUGGCGAGUGGCGAACGGGUGAGUAAUACAUCGGAACGUGCCCGGUCGUGGGGGAUAACGUAGCGAAAGUUACGCUAAUACCGCAUACGAUCUGAGGAUGAAAGCGGGGGACCUUCGGGCCUCGCGCGAUCGGAGCGGCCGAUGUCGGAUUAGGUAGUUGGUGGGGUAAAGGCCUACCAAGCCGACGAUCUGUAGCUGGUCUGAGAGGACGACCAGCCACACUGGGACUGAGACACGGCCCAGACUCCUACGGGAGGCAGCAGUGGGGAAUGUUGGACAAUGGGCGCAAGCCUGAUCCAGCCAUUCCGCGUGCAGGACGAAGGCCUUCGGGUUGUAAACUGCUUUUGUACGGAACGAAAAGGCUCUGGCUAAUACCUGGGGCUCAUGACGGUACCGGAAGAAUAAGCACCGGCUAACUACGUG
rnacentral:rRNA from 1 species